AGAGUUUGAUUAUGGCUCAGGAUGAACGCUAGCUACAGGCUUAACAUAUGCAAGGUCGAGGGGCAUCAUGGAGUUUGCUUGCAAACUCUGAUGGCGACCGGCGCACGGGUGAGUAACGCGUAUCCAACCUUCCCUAUAGUAGAGGAUAGCCCGGCGAAAGUCGGAUUAAUACUCUAUGUUUUCCGUUGCAGACAUCUAAGAUGGAACAAAGGCUUGCCGCUAUAGGAUGGGGGAUGCGUCUGAUUAGGUAGUCGGCGGGGUAACGGCCCACCGAGCCAUCGAUCAGUAGGGGUUCUGAGAGGAAGGUCCCCCACAUUGGAACUGAGACACGGUCCAAACUCCUACGGGAGGCAGCAGUGAGGAAUAUUGGUCAAUGGGCGAGAGCCUGGACCAGCCAAGUAGCCGUGCAGGACGACGGCCCUAUGGGUUGUAAACUGCUUUUAUGCGGGGAUAAAGUUCACUACGUGUAGUGUUUUGUAGGUACCGCAUGAAUAAGGACCGGCUAAUUCCGUGCCAGCCGCCGC
rnacentral:rRNA from 1 species